CUCAACUUUCUGAACAUAAAUGUUUUUCUCAAACAAUUGCAUUAGCAAGUUUUGCAUUUUGACAAACUAACUUGACCAUCAUAGCUAACACCUAAGGAGACCCUGAUCUCGUAAUUUUGGUGGCUAGAGGAGCUCCCUAGGUGCCCUUGGCAUCUUGUCGAACACCUAGAGUACAUGUCCACAUCUGGUAAGAUCUUUCUUUGCAUUUUGGAGUUGCUCCCCUCACCAUAAAACCAUGUCCAUCAUCUUGGCCUUAACCCAUAGCAUAACCCUGUUAAGGUUGAGCAGCUUUGGAGGUGCUUAUAGGCGCCCGUCUUUGUGUCGAACACCUAAUGCGC
rnacentral:lncRNA from 1 species